ACGAACGCUGGCGGCGUGCUUAACACAUGCAAGUCGAACGGAAAGGCCCUGCUUUUGUGGGGUGCUCGAGUGGCGAACGGGGGAGUAACACGUGAGUAACCUGCCCUUGACUUUGGGAUAACUUCAGGAAACUGGGGCUAAUACCGGAUAGGAGCUCCUGCUGCAUGGUGGGGGUUGGAAAGUUUCGGCGGUUGGGGAUGGACUCGCGGCUUAUCAGCUUGUUGGUGGGGUAGUGGCUUACCAAGGCUUUGACGGGUAGCCGGCCUGAGAGGGUGACCGGCCACAUUGGGCCUGAGAUACGGCCCAGACUCCUACGGGAGGCAGCAGUGGGGAAUAUUGCACAAUGGGCGGAAGCCUGAUGCAGCAACGCCGCGUGCGGGAUGACGGCCUUCGGGUUGUAAACCGCUUUCGCCUGUGACGAAGCGUGAGUGACGGUAAUGGGUAAAGAAGCACCGGCUAACUACGUG
rnacentral:rRNA from 1 species